AUAUGGGGAUAACGUCCAGUCAUUUUCGUAGCAGCAUGCCCGGUCUUUCAUUUAGGAUAAUUUAGUUUAUGUAAACAAGAUAGUUGAAUCGCAAUAUAGUGUUUCAAGUUAGCUUUUAUUCGUAAAAAAAGUCAUCGGCUAAGGCAAGCGGAGAGGACUGAUACGCAGACCCGUGGACAUGUUUCAUCUGAAAUUGAACCUAGUGGAGUGAUGGCUUCUCAUUUGACUAUAGCAACUAACAACUAAAACACCAUAUCCUGAUAUCGUUUCUUGCGAUAUGGUCAACGACGUGAUAAAAAAAU
rnacentral:lncRNA from 1 species